rnacentral:rRNA from 1 species
UACGGGGGGGGCAAGCGUUGUUCGGAAUUACUGGGCGUAAAGGACUCGUAGGCGGCCGGCUAAGUCCGACGUGAAAUCCCCAGGCUUAACCUGGGAACUGCGUCGGAUACUGGCGGGCUUGAAUCCGGGAGAGGGAUGCGGAAUUCCAGGUGUAGCGGUGAAAUGCGUAGAUAUCUGGAGGAACACCGGUGGCGAAGGCGGCAUCCUGGACCGGCAUUGACGCUGAAUAGCGAAAGCCAGGGGAGCAAACGGG